rnacentral:rRNA from 1 species
ACGUUAGCGGCGGACGGGUGAGUAACACGUGGGUAACCUACCUAUAAGACUGGGAUAACUUCGGGAAACCGUAGCUAAUACCGGAUAAUAUUUCGAACCGCAUGGUUCGAUAGUGAAAGAUGGUUUUGCUAUCACUUAUAGAUGGACCCGCGCCGUAUUAGCUAGUUGGUAAGGUAACGGCUUACCAAGGCGACGAUACGUAGCCGACCUGAGAGGGUGAUCGGCCACACUGGAACUGAUACACGGUCCAGACUCCUACGGGAGGCAGCAGGC